AUUUCGAAAUGAAUCUGGCUUAGAUAUAUUUUCAUUUAAAAAUGAGUGU
rnacentral:antisense_RNA from 1 species